rnacentral:rRNA from 1 species
CCUACGGGAGGCAGCAGUGGGGAAUAUUGGACAAUGGGGGGAACCCUGAUCCAGCGACGCCGCGUGAGUGAAGAAGUAUUUCGGUAUGUAAAGCUCUAUCAGCAGGGAAGAAAGAAAUGACGGUACCUGACUAAGAAGCCCCGGCUAACUACGUGCCAGCAGCCGCGGUAAGACGUAGGGGGCAAGCGUUAUCCGGAUUUACUGGGGGUAAAGGGAGCGUAGACGGCGAUGCAAGUCUGAAGUGAAAGGCGGGGGCCCAACCCCUGGACUGCUUUGGAAACUGUAUGGCUGGAGUGCAGGAGAGGGAAGUGGAAUUCCUAGUGUAGCGGUGAAAUGCGUAGAUAUUAGGAGGAACACCAGUGGCGAAGGCGGCUUACUGGACUGUAACUGACGUUGAGGCUCGAAAGCGUGGGGAGCAAACAGGAGUAGAUACCCCUGUAGUC